AAGGAAUGUUAAUUAUAAUUAUGCAAGUUUUAUAAAUUAUUAUUGAAAUCAAAUAUUAUGGUUGAUAAGGUUGUAAUGAUUUAAUUUGGCCUUGCAUAUUCUUUAGGGCUUGCUCUAAGGAGUAUACGGUCAUCACAUAUCUAAUCCGGAUGUUGGGUUCGGGGCGUGACAAAGUGGUAUCAGAGCUUAGAUUUAAGAUCACCAG
rnacentral:lncRNA from 1 species